rnacentral:tRNA from 1 species
AUUUUAGUAGCUUAAGGUUGAGAGUAGAGCCUUGAAGGUGCUAAGGUAGUAAAUACUCUAAAAUA